rnacentral:lncRNA from 1 species
UAAAUAAUUUAUGCAAGUUUGGUACAAGCAGCUUAUUGUAUAAAACCCUAUGAAGGUAAUGUUAAACGGUAAAACUUCUAUGCACUUGUGAAUCAUAGGUUCAGGCUGCAAGAGUUGUUAGAAGGGACCUUUUUUUUUCUUUUUUUUUUUAAUUAUUGUAGGCCUAUGCAUGUUAUUAUCAUGGUUUAAACAUAUUUCUUCUUUUAACCUUGUUUUUCUUUAACUCAGUGUAUGCUACUUAUGAAACGGACAAGGUAGACUAUGUUCUUGUGGUAG